rnacentral:lncRNA from 1 species
CUCUGCCAUGAAUUCACGGUUGUCAACGACACACUAUGAAAACAAGUACAGCCUUUGGGAUGUACAGAUACAUCUUGUUCAAGGCAAAAUACCAGUCCAAAGUUCAGAAACCCCAAGCACCAAUGUAUGUAUGGUAAAAAUCAAGGUACUAGUAAUAUUGGCCAGGCAUGGUGGCUCACACCUGUAAUCCCCACACUUUAGGAAGUCUAAGUGGGAGGAUGCCUCGAGGCCAAAAGUUUGAGACCAGCCUGGACAACGCGG